rnacentral:rRNA from 1 species
UGGGGAAUAUUGCGCAAUGGGGGGAACCCUGACGCAGCCAUGCCGCGUGAAUGAAGAAGGCCCUAGGGUUGUAAAGUUCUUUCGGUAUUGAGGAAGGUUGAUGUGUUAAUAGCACAUCAAAUUGACGUUAAAUACAGAAGAAGCACCGGCUAACUCCGUGCCAGCAGCCGCGGUAAUACGGAGGGUGCGAGCGUUAAUCGGAAUAACUGGGCGUAAAGGGCACGCAGGCGGUUAUUUAAGUGAGGUGUGAAAGCCCCGGGCUUAACCUGGGAAUUGCAUUUCAGACUGGGUAACUAGAGUACUUUAGGGAGGGGUAGAAUUCCACGUGUAGCGGUGAAAUGCGUAGAGAUGUGGAGGAAUACCGAAGGCGAAGGCAGCCCCUUGGGAAUGUACUGACGCUCAUGUGCGAAAGCGUGGGGAGCAAACAGGAUUAGAUACCCUGGUAGUCCACGCUGUAAACGCUGUCGAUUUGGGGGUUGGGGUUUAACUCUGGCGCCCGUAGCUAACGUGAUAAAUCGACCGCCUGGGGAGUACGGCCGCAAGGUUA